AUACACAGAAGUCCCAAGGUCAAGAAGCUCUCUCUGGACUGCAUUCUUUGUGGAGUGGAGACCGGCUCCCUAAACAGAAAGGAGGAGUUAAUGGAUGUUGGGUGCCAAUGGAGAGCCUGCUGCAGAAGCUCUGGGAUGACGCCUCUGAAAAAAAAUGGCAUUUAAACUUAAGAUGAGUGAGGGUCAGCAAGGAGCAAGGAGGAUGUACCUUCAGGCAGAGAGAGCCACGUGUGUGGCCUGUCUGUGCCCCGGGUUACAAGAUGUUCGUGCCAUUUCUCAUUUACUGCAUUGACCCCAAAAGGGAUCAGCGGAGAGGGAUGUGGCACGCGAGAAGCCACUGUCCCCUGGGAAAGAAGGGAGAAUGGUGCUCUCAACGCUGGGCCUGAAGGAUUGUGUGAGACACAGCGGUCUCAGCAGUCCCGCCUGCCGUCCCCAUGGUUGUAAAGCCCAGGUGAACUCUGUCAGCAACCUCAGCCUCCUCUGGAGGGAGGACCAGCGCACACGGCCUCCGUGACACCCACUGUAGAGGGAGCUUCAGUGGUUGCAGCUCCCAGGUCCGACCUGACUGGACCCACAGAGCUCUGGCUUCCCUCGCUGCUUCCUGGGGGGCCUGAAACACAUCCUAGAGAGACAGUGGCGCUAAUGUCCUGUGGAAGUGCCUCUGACCAUUGAGAGCCAGGAGCCAGGAGCCAGGAAGAAGCCAGCAGAUGAUUGCUCUCCCUUCCUGCCCACCCAGGAGCUGUUCCGAGAUCCAAGGAUAACAGGCCUUAAUUAAGAAGUAGCGCGUGAGCUUGGCCUCAGGCUGCUUUCUGGAGAACCCAGGCGACGGUGAGACCUUCUGACCCUUUACCUUCCAUCCUUCAGUCUGCUGCGCGCUGUUACUUCGCUUCAGGUUCCUGGGGAAGCAGUGCGGCCUCAGCGAGGGAGGAGUUUCAGGAGGGUGAGGUUAUCUUUCGGGAACUCCAAUGGCAGGGAUCACGCGAUCACCUCAAACUCAGGUGUCGUGCUUUCCGGUCGAUGCCUGUGCCAAAAGUUCGUUCUUCAAGACGAGUUCUUGUCCAAGUUACAUGGCCUAUUUUCUAAAAAAUCAAAUCAAGCACACUUCACAGCACCCUCACGGGUAGAACGCGUGGCUUAUUUAUUUUUAUGUGGUAUGUUCAUCUCUCAAUACCUGUGUUUUCACCAGAGUAAACUCAGUCUUGUGAAGUUAAAUUUCAUGCAUGUCAUAAAUGUUUCCCCAUCUGAGCAAAUAUUGAAAUGAGCAAUUCUGCUCUUUGACAGAGAGUGUUAAAUGUGUUUGGUCAUCAAAUUCGACUUAGUAUUCCCCAAGGUAUCCUAAUGUUUCUGGCAGUAUCUCAAAGCUCUCACGAAUCUCCCAGCCAACUAUUGCUUUGAAGGGCAGUUUCUUCACUUAGCAGGAAGUUUUUCUAGUUAAUUCACCUUACUUAGAGUUCCAUAGUUCCCUCUUUUAAUAUUUCCUACAUGUUUAAGCACAGCUAAAAAAGUGACUAAGAAACGUUUUAAAAGUUGUACUUGGUUAAGAAGCCUUGCAACUCUCAUGCUGGGGAACUGAUAAUUUGUGAUUCUAAUUUUAACUGGAUUAAUCUCAUUCAGAGUCUUUCUAUGCAUAUUACACAUCUUAGUGCCCAACUUCAUGAGGGAUUUAGCAACUGCUAUAUGUGGAAAAUGCUGAGAAUUGAGAUGCUUUUGCUGUUGAAGAAACAUUGCUCAUGUUCCAAAAUGCAGUUGAAACCCAAGUCAAUGUUAUAUGCAAUUUCAUUUUUAUUUUGAAAAUAUUGUUGCAGAAACAUAGUUUCUUUGGGAUUCUUUACCCCAAAUCACGGACACUGCUACUCUCAAAAGCAGUACGGUUUCUCGCUCUGCUGAGGGCCAGUCACGGUUCAGCUUCGGAGUGUCACCACGUUCCCCUUGGGGCUGUCUGGGGACACGGCUGGUUUGCCUCCCCUUGCUGGUUACACCACUUUCCUUUCUGCAUUGGUUUUCACUGGGCGCCUGCCAUUUCUGAUGUUCCAGGAAGUCUGCUGCUUCUACCUGACUCUAAUUCAAUUUGUUAAUAUACAACAUUGAUCUGGUUUAUGGACACAGAGAGCAUCCUGUGUAAUUUCAUCUAUGUUUGCCAAAAAGUGACUGUACCAGAUAAGAGCCUUACCAUCAACCUCAGGCUGCCCAGAAAUCCUUUUGUGCUCUUCCCUUUCAUUUUAAUAGUCUGUAGCUGGGGAAUGUUGGUUGGGCAUAUAAUCAUCACUUCUGUGGCGGGGGCCCUGUUUCUGUCUUUCAUCUCUGGUAGUGUAAUAGCCACUCUACUUCUUUUUUUUUUUUUUAGGGCCGCACUGCAGCAUAUGGAAGUUCCCAGGCUAGGAAUUGAAUCAAAACUGUGGCCACCAGUCUAUGCCACAGCCACAGCUACAGCCACGUGGGAUCCAAGCCCCGCCUGCGACCUACACCACAGCUCAUGGCAAUGCCAGAUCCUUCACCCCCUGAGCGAGGCCGGGGAUCAAAGCCACAUCCUCAUGGAUGCUGGUUGGGUUUGUUACCGCUACGCCGAAAUAGGAACUCCACUCUGCCAUUUUUUAUCUUUUUAAAAUUUGCUUUCCAUCUUUGCAUAUUUGAAGACAUUUUGCUUUGCUUUCUUCUUUCCUCUGGAAGUGCUCCAGCUCCUUCAGGGGUCUCUUCCAUAAUCUAAUUUCCUUGGCUUUGCCAGAACCAACAGGGAAUAUUUCCUGGUGUCCGCCCUGAGCAGAAGGUCUAUGUGCCAGACUGUAUUGAACAAGUUUUUUCCCCCAGAACUCUUUAGGUUGAGGAGACAUUGGUGUCCAUAAUUUUGCAAAAAUUGCCACAGGAAUCCCCCUUUUCAAGACAUCUCGCCGCCUCUCCUGUUCAGAAACUGCUUCUUUCCCACUCAACACAUUUUCCAGAGAUUGGAGAGAACCGUUUCUCUGUCCAUAUCAGCUUUUGUCUAAAGAUGAACAAACAAAACAUGUACCAGUAACAGAGCCAGAACUGGACCUUUGCCUUCGUCUGAUUUGCUGUUUGAAACAUGGCUUUAUGACUCCGCCAUCACCAGGACUUUAGCGGCCAGAAUUAGAAAUGAAGCCAAACAAAUUACUUUGACAGUUUUAAUGAUAAGUGCAACUCAUGUCAGCUAAGCUAGUCAGUGUUUGUGAUGGUCGGAAUAAUCUUUUUUUUCAUUGAAGUAUAGUUGAUUUACAAUGUCGUGUUGAUUUCAGGUGUACAGAACAGUGAUUCAGUUAUACAUACUUUUUCAGAUUCUUUUUCCUUAUAGGUCAUUACACAAUAUUGAGUAUAGUGUCCUGUGUUAUACGGUAGAUCCUGUUGGUUAUCUAUUUUAUGUAUAAUAAUGUGUAUAUGUUAACUCUGACCUCCUAAUUAUCUUCCUCCCCACCUUUGGGGACCAUAAAUUUGUUAUCUAUGUCUGUGGAUCUGUUUCCAUUUAGUAAAUAAGUUCAUUUGUAUCUUUUUUUUUUAAGAUUCCACAUAUAAGUGAUAUCAUAUGAUAUUUGUCUUUGUUUGGCUUACUUCACCUAGUAUGAUAAUCUCUAGGUCCAUCCAUGUUGCUGCAAAUAGCAUUAUCUUGUUCUUUUUUAUGGCUGAGUAGUAUGCCAUUGUGUAUAUGUACCACAUCUCCUUAAUCCAUUCAUCUGUCAAGGGACAUUUGGGUUGUUUCCUUAUUCUUAAAAGUCAGACUCAAGAUCACAAAGUUGCCAAGUAAGUGAACCAGAACUGGAAUCCAGAUCGUCUGAGUAAAGGCAUCUAUGACAGUUUGUCAUGUCCCUCUACUUUCUUCUGAAUGUUCUCAGGAGAAAUUUUUAAAGUUAUGUAGACCAGGAGUUAUAUAUGCCUCUACCAUACAUGUUUCAUGGGUCAAAGUGAAGCAAAGAAAGAAUGUCUUUCCUGAAAGCAAGUAGAUGGCUUCACAGUAGAGCAACGGAGAGAGAAACACCAUGACAUGCUUCAUUUUUUGCAAGUAUCUUUCUUUUGCUGUUCUCAAGUAGGUAAGAAUCAGGUGACAAAUUCGUUUAAACAGUUCCCACUGAGAUUUGUGAACCAAAAAAGGCAGACAGGAAAAUAAACUGGACAGACAAUC
rnacentral:lncRNA from 1 species